rnacentral:tRNA from 1 species
GCCUCUGUAGCAUAGCCAGUAAUUGCGCCACCUUGGUAAGGUGGAGGUCGCGGAUGCAAAUUCCGCCAGAGGCU